rnacentral:misc_RNA from 1 species
UUACCGUAGGUGAACCUGCGGUAGGAUCAUUAACAAAUCCGAGUAGGCGCCGCUAUCCGCGGCCCUAUACGUGCCGGUGGCGAUGCGCUGUGGCGUUCGCUGCCGUGUUCGAGUGCUCUGCACAAGUAUGUAAGUGAGACAAGGAAACAAUGUGGGAACAACAAACAACUUUUAACAAUGGAUCUCUAGGCUCUU